UGUAGGGCAAGUGCUUAACUCCAGGUUCAAACCUAGGAAAGUCCACCCACCACGCCCGCAAGGGCAAAAGGCCGCUGCUGAGAGGCAGGUGCUGAAAAGUGCGCUCCAGCGAAGAAACAACACGGCCCUUAGUCAAGGAUGAGAUGGCGAAUCAGGCAGCAAUGGCUGAGAGUUAACCCAUAGACGUUGCUAAGGGAUUCGGUGAGACAGCUGACCGGCCGGUGCAAGUCUUAAGACGCUUAGUCGUAUGUUAAGGCAAACCUUCCGAAAGGGGUUUGACAGAAGGUGGCUUAUCUUUGCCCUACA
rnacentral:RNase_P_RNA from 1 species